ensembl:lncRNA
UCCUUGUAAGUUGCUUUGGAUAAAAGCGUCUCCUAAUUGUAAAUGGAGUGUUGUGUCUUAACUGAUAAAUACUGAUGCAAAGAAAAGGACUGAAAUGCUGAAAUUUCAUAAAUAUUUAUUCCAUAUCAAUCAACAAAAAAUGAACUACUUUCACAGCAGUGGUCAACAGCACUUAAUAAAAUAAAACGUUCAAAUAAUAAUCAGAAUAAUUGUUUAGUUUUGUUUGAGGCCACAUUUUGAAACACAAAACAUUUACAAGUAGUACUGUAAGUACUUGGCAUUAAAAACAAUGGCGAUACAAUAUUUUAAGACACUUGGUGUUUUUUGAAGUGUUUUUUUUUCUUUUCUCUUUCGUUUUGAUAAGACCGAGGCUCCGUGACAGUCUAAACAGCACUUACUGACUCACACACGACACCACUGCUAAGAGGACCUCAGAGAAGACAGGGGUGGGUGCAAACAGAACAGGCUGAACAGUCAAACAAAAGAGAGAAAGACAACAGAAGAUAGAAAAAAAAAAAAAAAAAAAAAAGACAAUUUAUAUUUUUUUAUAAUUUGCUUAAUUAACUCUGUGACCAAGAGUCUUCUUCUGCUCAUGCCAGUCACUGCGGGGAUAGAGCUCAUAAAUAACAAGUACAGUUCAUCUGCAAAAAUAUUCCCAUAUUUUUUUUACCUUUUUAAAUCCCGUCCCUUUUUUUCGGACUGCUACUAGUGUUCAAAGAUUUUGUACAAAGAGAGGUGGAAUUGUGAAUGAAUGAUGAACAGAGAGAGAGGAGGAGUGUGAGAAAGGGAGGGAGAAAAAGACACAGACAGAAAGGGGUAGGAGGAGUGGACUAGACAGGUCAAAGAAUAGUUCUGUCUUCUGUCCACAAGAUGGCGCUUCUGUGCCAAACGCCACAGAAAAGAGGACACCUCUAUCCUGUACACACUGCCUUGCAGAUCCAAAGCAAGCAUGCUAACCCUUUAGCUGACAAUACCAAGAGACCCAAACAGCCCUGUAGGCGGUGUGUUCAGUCUAGACAGCUAGCUCUAAACGUGUUUUUGUUUACGGAUAUAAAAGUAUGGCUAAGGCUGAGCAGACGGCCACGUCUGCGUCUCCGUGACGACCUGGCACACUGUCUCCACAAGGCCUGAGGUCCCCACUUUAUCUCCGGUGUCCUUGUCAUGGUCUACUUCAGUGGUUCUCAAACUUUUUGUCCGGGGACCCCAUAAAAUCCAUUUGCCAAGUCUCGCGACCCCCAACACAUUUUGACAGGAUAUUAUAGGUCUAAAUUCAGUUUCAUCUUGAAUGAUGAGACUGCUUGCUGAGAAAAUAUUAGUUUUCAUUAUCCAUCCUGAUGUAGAAAACACCAUUUCUGAUAGACUAUACAGCAUGUCAAAGCCUAAUAUGUUGACGCACAGGGCAGCAAGAUCAUUUCGCGACCCCCAAAAAACGUUUGGCGACCCCACUUGGGAUCCCGACCCCUAGUUUGAGAACCACUGGUCUACUUAACUACGUGAUCAGUAAUCGCAUGUACUUCCCAUGAUAACCAUACUACUAACUACCAUACAUCCCACUAAGCAUCACACUACACUAAAAACCCAAGUUACUCUUGUGAUAGCUGAUGUGCUAACAUGAGAAGUACACUGCACUUAUCAUUCAAUAAUGUAUUAAGUACACAGUACUGAAGGACAAUUCAGCCAAAGUGAGACCAGCCUGUCUCCCUGAGAGGGCUGACCAGACAUCAUCCGCUAGUGUGGAGGUCAAAGGUGAAGGAGGUCAAAGGUGAAGGAGUUCAAAGGUCAAGGAGUUCAAAGGUCAAGGAGUUCGCUAAAGUCUCUCAGCUGAGAGAGGGUUCUAAGUCUAGCGCUAAAUAUCCAGCUCACCAUCUAAUGACUGCACCAAUGUGCAGAGGCAUGCAGGUGUUCGUGUUUGUGAAGCCCUUGGCAGGUGUUUGUUGUGAAGCCUAUGUCAGGUGUUUGUGAAGCCUAUGUCAGGUGUUUGUGAAGUGUUUUUUAAGCCUAUGUCAGGUGUUUGUGAAGCCUAUGACAGGUGUUUGUGAAGUGUUUGUUAAGCUUAUGUCAGGUGUUUGUGAAGCCUAUGUCAGGUGUUUGUGAAGCCUAUGUCAGGUGUUUGUGAAGUGUUUGUGAAGCCUACGUCAGGUGUUUGUUAAGCUUAUGUCAGGUGUUUGUGAAGUGUUUGUGAAGCCUACGUCAGGUGUUUGUUAAGCUUAUGUCAGGUGUUUGUGAAGCCUAUGUCAGGUGUUUGUGAAGCCUAUGUCAGGUGUUUGUGAAGCCUAUGUCAAGUGUUUGUUAAGCUUAUGUCAGGUGUUUGUGAAGCCUAUGUCAGGUGUUUGUGAAGCUUAUGUCAGGUGUUUGUGAAGCUUAUGUCAGGUGAUUGUAAAGCCUAUGUCUUGACUUGUAGAGGGGCAACGCGUGAGAGUUUCGGGUCACGUUUCAUGUAGAGGUUUGUAGAGGAGCUUGUGUCAUUACACUGACCUGGACAUUGAUUUUUUUUGCUGUUGAUAAAUCCUUUUCUGAAUUAGAAUCAUGAUUUACUGACUGGUAGAAAAUGGGAGUCGGGGUCAACUAGAGGCUGUAAGAAAGUGGCACUUGAGAGACUCACUGGCCCGGACUUCCUGAUACCACACACACCGAUAUAUAGACGCAACACUACAGAAGGUGAUGGAGAGAUGGAGAGAACAAGAAGGAGUGAGAGAGAGAGAGAAAGAGAGAGAGAAAGAGAGAGAGAGAGAGAGAGAGACAGAGAGAGGAUAGUGUCCAAAACAGUGAGACAUGAACAGCAUAGAAACAUCAUACAUUUACAGAUAUUACAUACAUAUAUUUAUAUUUAUAUAUAUAUAUAUAUAUAAAUAUAUAUUAUAUAUAUUUAUAUAUAUAAUAUGUGUGUGUUUUAUAUGUGUAAUAUCAUCUACAAAUACGACCUAUAAAGAUAUAUAUGAUUUUUGUCCACACGUGCGCACCCACCUAUUCAGAUGCUCACAACCCAAUAUGCAUAUAUUAUAUUUUAUUCUCACUUACACAGAAAGUAUCACAUAAUAUACAACAAAUAUAUGUAUUUAUAUAUGUAUUCCUUUAAAAAAAAAAAAAGAGAAAAUAUAAAAAAAAGAUACAACCAAAACAGGACACUCGGGGUUAAAGUCGUGUUUUUUGUCAUCGUGCCUUGGGUGCGUCAAUUUACAUUCAUGUUUGGUCUCCAAGGAAACCGUAAACAUUUACUUCUGUUGUUUGUUUGUUUAUGUUUAUCUUGGCUGAUGUCUGUAAACCAAACCUAUCUAGCCACUGUGAUUGGGGGCCACACUAAGAGGUUGCGGACCUACAGUAUAUGGUGGUGAUAUGGUGAUCACCUUCCCUUAUUCGAGCCUAAAUGCUUGACUGAUUCUCCUCCCCGCUCUCUCUUAGGAAAGGAGAUAAUGGCGACCCACAAUUCCUUGUGGCAGAAACAUCGAACAAUCAGUACGACCCGCGUCAAUAACAUCCGCCGUUGCAUAAUCACGUGGCCUAGAGCAAGUGCAGUGGGAUUCUCCUAGCACUGCGGAUGUCUUUCCCAGGUCCUUGUGAAUUCUCCUUCACAUCUUUCUUUGACCUCUUUGACGUUUUCCAUCAAGGUCAAGGAAAAAUAGUUAGGAAAAGACACAGGAUGUAUUUUUGGACUACCUGACCACAACCUUAGUCCUCCUCACGAGGACUUUUCCUACUCCUGAUAAAGUCUUGGUUCAAACAGAGAGGCACAUUCACGUAUGUCUAUCUUUAAACUUCUCUUUUCUUUAAACUUCUCUUCUCUAUAAACUUAUCUUCUCUUUAAACGUCUCUUCUCUAUAACCUUCACUUCUCUUUAAACUUCUUUUCUCACUAAACCUUCUUUAAACUUCUCUUCUCUAUAACCUUCUCUUCUCUCUAAACUUCUCUUCUCUUUAAACUUCUCCUCAGACUGCUACAAGUCCUUAGGUCUAGUCUGGGUUAGGUUUUAGUCUUAAUCCCUAUCUCAGGUCUGACUGUAUUUAAUAUGGGGACUGGGACACACACGCACACACACACACACACACACACACACACACACACACACACACACACACACACGCACAGAGAGAGAGAGAGAGAGAGAGAUAGAACAUACAUACAAGAACACACACCCAUGCACACAUACACAGAAGCAAACUCACCCACACACACAGACCAACACACACACACACACACACAACGAACACGCACACCACCCGAUUGAUUCUACUGCAUUUGACAUCCCACGACACACACCACAUCCACAUCUGAAGCCAUGAGGCUGCCACAGCGGCUGAUACAGGCAAACAACUGAAAUGAAACGGACAGGAAAUAAACAAACAAACAAAAAUCGCCAAACAACUUGGAGAGAGGGGAUGCCAUGGGAGAGGUGCAUUGUGGGAUUGUCAUCACUUUAGAUCCAGGAUGUCCUCCUCGAAGGAUGUGGCCAAGGGGUUGGUCAGGGGCGGGCUUGACUCCUGUGGCCCAGCCUCUGAGCCGGUGGAGCAGUGAAGCUGGACAUCUGAUUCGCCGUCCACAAGCU